UGGGGAAUAUUGGACAAUGGGCGGAAGCCUGAUCCAGCAACGCCGCGUGAGGGAUGACGGCCUUCGGGUUGUAAACCUCUUUCAGUACCGACGAAGCGAAAGUGACGGUAGGUACAGAAGAAGGACCGGCCAACUACGUGCCAGCAGCCGCGGUAAUACGUAGGGUCCGAGCGUUGUCCGGAAUUAUUGGGCGUAAAGGGCUCGUAGGCGGUUUGUCGCGUCGGGAGUGAAAACAGCGGGCUUAACUCGUUGCUUGCUUUCGAUACGGGCAGACUAGAGGUAUGCAGGGGAGAAUGGAAUUCCUGGUGUAGCGGUGAAAUGCGCAGAUAUCAGGAGGAACACCGGUGGCGAAGGCGGUUCUCUGGGCAUUACCUGACGCUGAGGAGNGAAAGUGUGGGGAGCGAACAGGAUUAGAUACCCUGGUAGUCCACACCGUAAACGUUGGGGCGCUAGGUGUGGGGUCCUUUCCACGGAUUCCGUGCCGU
rnacentral:rRNA from 1 species